GGCCAUGCCACCCUGAACAAGCCCGACGCCGUCUGAUCUUGGAAGCUAAGUAGGGUCGGGUCUGGUUAGUACUUGGAUGGGAGACCACCUAGGAAGACCAGGUGCU
rnacentral:rRNA from 1 species